GUGAUGUAAAUAACACCGACGAAAUAAAAGAUGGUCACGAUCAACCCAACAGUGAUUCCAAGGACAACCGGUCGUUGAUCGACAAUAAUACUGCACAAAGCCUCGCUGGUGAAGAUAUAGAAGACAUGCGAAGGGUGCUAAGGGUAAUGAAAUAAUUGAAGCUCUCAUUGCCAAUAGUGCAACAUUUGAUAAGAAAACAUCAUUCUCACAGGAGAAAUAUAGACUUAAGAAGCAGAAGAAAUAUGCACCAAGGGUACUUAUAAGGCGUCCUGUUGCUCGAAGCAUAUGUGAGGCCUAUUUCAAGAAGUAUCCAUUAAAAAUUGGCUCUUCGAUGAAGUUGUGCUUUCACAUCAGUUUGUUUAUAGUGGCUUUAAGUCAUGGUGUCGUCAGCUUAGAUCAAGUGGUAUUAUGUGCUGGUUGGAACUUUGAACUGUCAAAGUUAUGUUCGUUGUGAAUUUGUAGGUUUAGUUUUGACCGGUUGUGUAAUGUGGGUGUGUUUAUCAGCUCCCUAAAUUCGUCUUGAAUGCAGAUUGGUAGUAGAAAUUAUUGUAGAAGUGUUAAAAAGUUAUAUUUUAGUGUUGGGAUAUCAGUGUAAUCGUUUGAUAAGGAUCUGGCAUGAGUUGUCUUUUGAUUCGGUAUUUUAAACAAUUUUAAAUUUGGUGCAAGUGAGUUUUGGUGAGUAAGGCGUAGGUAGUGGUGGGGAGUGUGUCUAUGCAACAGUGUUUAGAAUUUCUUAUCACAGAAUUGAAUGUGGUGAUAUCUGUGUUGUAUAUGUUUUUGGUUUUUCAUAUGUUUUUGGUGUCAAUUGUUACUAUCACUGCUGGUGCGUUCUUUGGUAUCAAUUGUUACUAUCACUGGUGCGUUCUUUAUGUUUUCUUACGACAAAAUUGGUGUUAU